GCCGGCGCCGUGGCUCAAUAGGCUAAUCCUCCACCUUGCGGCGCCGGCACACCGGGUUCUAGUCCCGGUCGGGGCGCCGGAUUCUGUCCCGGUUGCCCCUCUUCCAGGCCAGCUCUCUGCUAUGGCCAGGGAGUGCAGUGGAGGAUGGCCUAGGUGCUUGGGCCCUGCACCCCAUGGGAGACCAGGAAAAGCACCUGGAUCCUGGCUCCUGCCAUCGGAUCAGCGCGGUGCGCCGGCUGCAGCGGCGGCCAUUGGAGGGUGAACCAACGGCAAAAGGAAGACCUUUCUCUCUCUGUCUCUCUCUCACUGUC